CUCCCUCUUCAUUUCCCGACUUCUAUCUUCAAACCCAUCGCCCCUCACCAGCUCUCUCCUUCUCUCUUUCUCUCUACGAUUCGCCCCUCACGGUUGCCGACCUCACCUCUCCCUUUGUCGGUCUUCCGUCCCGUAUGCCUCAGUGGGACCGCUGAAGAAGUCGGGGAAUCUGACUCGGUGGAAAGAAAUUGCGAGUAAGUUGUGGAGUCCAAAUUGGUGUAAGGAGCUGGUGGAUCAUCGGAAUUGAUAGAGAAAUGCAGAUUAAUUAAUUCAGUUUGUAUCACAUAAUCUGAUUCUUGCAAGGAAAUCUGCGGGGAGUUAGAUUCAGCAAAUCCAUCUGGACAAUAUUAGAUAACAUAAAACUAUGUUUGUUCAAGGAAUCCACCUGAGUGAACAUAGUUCUAUGUGGUAUAAUAUUGUCCAGACAGAUUCGCUAAUUAGAAUCAGGUUCCGUGAUACAAUUUGAAUCAAUUGAUAUGUAUUUCUCUUCCGGUUCUGAUGGCCCGUCAACUUUUUCCACCAAGUUGGAGUCCACAGUUUCCUAGGCACUUUCCACCGACUCGGAUUUUCCGGCUUCCUCAUAUUCGUUUUACACCGCCUUAUCUGACUUUUGCCGUACACAUUUGAUUUUGCUCGUUGUUAGUGGAGCAACAAACAUGGCUAUCGCUAUCUUGUUAAUUCUAUCGCUAUCUUGUCUCAUGGCUAUAGUGUUGGUUUAGAUGUUAUAGGAUAAUCUAAGAUACGAUAUGAAAAUCAAUGGAUCAGCAGAUGAAGUUGUCUCAA